AAUAAGAUGCCUGAAAAAAGGAUUACUUUGAUAGAGUAAAUCAUGUAAGCCAAUCUUACUCUUAUUA
rnacentral:tRNA from 1 species